rnacentral:rRNA from 1 species
AAAGAUUAAGCCAUGCAUGUCUAAGUACUGGCCGACCUUAGGCGAAACCGCAAAUGGCUCAAUAAAUCAGUUAUGAUUCAUUGGAUGUUGGUGAAUCUUUUACUCGGAUAACCGUGGUAAUUCUAGAGCUAAUACGUGCAACCGAGCUCCGACCCCGCUUCGGAUUGUCCCCGGAGCGGGGGAAGGGCGCAUUUAUUAGAAUCACAAACCGAGCGGACUUCGGUCCGUCUCAUACGAGGUUGUGAUGACUCUGAAUAACUACGCCGAGCGCUGAGGCCUUCGUGCCGGCGCCGUAUCUUUCGAGUGUCUGCCUUAUCAGCUUUCGAUUGUACGUUAUACGCUUACAAUGGCUGUAACGGGUAACGGGGAAUCAGGGUUCGAUUCCGGAGAGGGAGCCUGAGAAACGGCUACCACAUCUAAGGAAGGCAGCAGGCACGCAAAUUACCCACUCCCGGCUCGGGGAGGUAGUGACGAUAAAUAACGAUGCGGGACUCUUCCGAGGCCUCGCAAUCGGAAUGAGUUCACUCUAAAUCCUUGGACGAGGAUCCAUUGGAGGGCAAGUCUGGUGCCAGCAGCCGCGGUAAUUCCAGCUCCAAUAGCGUAUAUUAAAGUUGCUGCGGUUAAAAAGCUCGUAGUUGGACUUUAAGAUACGUGCCGGCGGCCCAUCCAAGGCGCGCCCUCGUCGUCUCGCUCUUGUACGCCGAGGUUGACCGGAUUUUCUGGUGUGCGACGCCGCUAAAGGCGCGAGCGCGAACGGAGUUUCUACUCUUUUUCGGAGCGUCCCUCCUUAAAUGUUGUUAAGCUUUCGUUUCGCCGCCGCGCUGGCGUCCGUUAUCCGAUUUUCCGUAACCCCCUUCAUUCGAGGCGGGUGAGGGCAUUCCCUAAAAACACCGCUCCGGCGUGCCCCCCGUUCCUCGAUACAAACCUCCCGCCACCCCACCAUUCGAUUCGACUUCGUUGCCCGCUCGACCCCUGAAGUGCGUCGUAAAACGGGGCGUGUCGAUUUUUACUCGGCGUCUUUCUCCCUUUGCGCCCAUCCCAUCCCUCGUUCCCUCGACCGCGGGUCACCGGAGGCUUUUAUUUCGAAAGUCGCCGCCCCCUCUCGAUAGCGAGGCGCGUGGGUUGGACCCGUAUCGGGGCUCAAAGGAAGCGUCGAGCGGCUCGUCCCCGGACUUCUUCAAGUCGUUUCGGAGCGCGGAGCGCCGACGUUCGGUGUCUAAAGGGUGGCGCGGGGGCGUGGAGCGUCGUGGUACGCCUCGGACGCGGAGGGGUCUCGUUUCCUCCCCGCUCUGGGGGGGCCCCAUCUCUCGCGCGUACAUAAAAAAAAGCGGCGAGCGGCGAGUAAGCGCGCCCGGUGGUUCACUGGCCGGUCACGAAAUUUUAAAAGCCGUCGGCUCUCACGGGGUGCUCUUUACCGAGUGUCCCGCGUGGCCGACACAUUCACUUUGAAAAAAUUAGAGGGCUCAAAGCAGGCAAAACUUUAUAGCCUGAAUGUCGGUGCAUGGAAUGAUGGAAUAGGACCUCGGUUCCGCAUUUUUUCUCGGUUUUCCGAACCCGAGGUAAUGAUUAACGGAAACGGACGGGGGCAUUAGUAUUGCGACGCUAGAGGUGAAAUUCUUGGACCGUCGCAAGACUAACUACUGCGAAAGCAUUUGCCAAGAACGCUUUCAUUAAUUAAGAACGAAAGUUAGAGGAUCGAAGGCGAUCAGAUACCGCCCUAGUUCUAACCUUAAACGAUGCCAACUAGCAAUCCGCUUAAGUCAUACCCACGACUGAGCGGGAAGCCCCCGGGAAACCGAAGUCUUUGGGUUCCGGGGGAAGUAUGGUUGCAAAGCUGAAACUUAAAGGAAUUGACGGAAGGGCACCACCAGGAGUGGAGCCUGCGGCUUAAUUUGACUCAACACGGGAAACCUCACCAGGCCCAGACACCGGAAGGAUUGACAGAUUGAGAGCUCUUUCUCGAUUCGGUGGGUGGUGGUGCAUGGCCGUUCUUAGUUGGUGGAGCGAUCUGUCUGGUUGAUUCCGAUAACGAACGAGACUCUACCCUAUUAACUAGUCGGUGGAUCGUAUCCCGAGACGGGUUAACCCUACCGGGGGGUUUGGCACGGCGCUUCCGGGAACUACCUCUUCCCGGGGCCGCGGCGUUUUCCUCUUCCCCAGUCGAAACCUCGCGAUGCGCGCGGGAAGCGGCGUCCGCGGCUUUCGUGUGUGCGGGUCGUUAGCGCGCCUCUCUCCUUCUCCCCCGCCCGGGGGAAAGGAUGUACGCGCGCGCGUCCCGUAUCAUUACGGACCGCGGGUCGCGUCGUUUUUUCGAGCCUCGCUCGGCGGAAAUGGGGGUUUACGAGGAGCGUCGCGCGUCCCCCUACGAGGGUUUUCGGGGUCCGUGCUUCGCUACACCCCUCGCGUAGGGCCCAGCGAGGGGCGUCCACCGCAACGUCUUCUUAGAGGGAUCGGCGGCGUCCAGCCGCACGAGAGAGAGCAAUAACAGGUCUGUGAUGCCCUUAGAUGUUCUGGGCCGCACGCGCGCUACAAUGAAGGGAUCAGCGUGCUUUCCCCCUCCGAAAGGAGCGGGUAACCCGGUGAAACCCCUUCCCGAUUGGGAUUGGGGAUUGUGAGUGUUUCCCAUGAACGAGGAAUUCCCCGUAAGCGCAAGUCAUCAGCUUGCGAUGAUUAAGUCCCUGCCCUUUGUACACACCGCCCGUCGCUACUACCGAUUGAAUGAUUCAGUGAGGGCGUCGGACUAGCGCCCUCGGUAGCUCUCGGUUUUUACGCGUU